CCUCCUCACCCUCCCUUGGUGCGCCAGUCUUCCCAUAACACCAGGUCCAGACCUGUCUCUCUUUUCAGAAGGCAUUUUAAUACACUGCUCUUCCUGUUCAGUAGCUGCCCACCAGGAUCCAUUACUAGAACCAACAGAACAUUCACCCAGAAGCCUGUGGAGAAGUCUUCUCUUGGGAUACCUUGGCAGAUGAGAAGAUUGCAUCCGUGCUCGUUGACUUGGCAACCUGGGAGUGUGCCCAGCUUGUCUGACGGAAGGCAGCUUCCUAUGGAACCAGCUCCUUCUCUGGAAAAGGCUGAUCCCUAAGGAGCCUCUGGCUGACCUCACAACAGGGCUGAAGACUGGGAGACCCUGGAUCCUGAUGAGAAGACCCAGGAAACCUCACCCAUUUCUUUCAUAAGAAUUAUAUGACUCAACCUCUGCUGACUUUUCCCUCCUCUGUCGUUUCUGGCUCAUAGACUCUGUUGGAGCACAGCGACAGUGUGGGACCAUAAUUCUCUACCAGCGGGAUACCUCCCCGCCUUAUCUAUUCACUCCCCAAUCCUAGCCUAACUUCCCAGAGAACUGGAGGCCCACAGAAACCUCAGGUAAAAGGUCACCAUGGUUAUCUCCCUGGCUCCUGGUGGCCUCCCUAGUGAAUCAUGGAGAAUCUCCAGGUGGGAAGGAGAUGUCUGGUCCAAUUCCCACUCAGAACAAGUCUUCAUGACAACAUUCUUGCCAAGCUGCCUCUGCCUGAAGAUUCCCCCUACCUUGGGAUGUCCCGAGGAUGCCUAUUUCACUUUGGGCUAGCUCUCGCCGUCAGCAAAGUUUUCCUGACACCAAGCCUAACUAGCCUUUUGGGGCUUCUUCCUGCGGUUCUCUCCUCGGGGGCCAAACAGAACAAAAGUCUGAUCCCUCUUCUGUAGGACAAUUUUUUAAGUGCUUGAAGACAGCUGUCAUUUCCCCAUGAGGUGGGGGUAUUCAUUCCUAAUGAUUCUGAGGGAGCCAAUAUAGCCUAGAGUUAUUGGAAAAACUUGUUCCUGUAGCUAGCAGCCUUUGUCUAUUAACUCAUCCCUUGGAUUGUAACCUAAAUCCUUCCCAGCCAGAGUUCUUCUUUCCACCUGGAACAGUGCCUGCUUCUAGACAAGACCUCCAGAAACCAUGUCUCCAGUCCCUGGGGAAAGUAAUCUGCUCAGCUUUGGAACUCCUUGCCCCGGGGCCAACCCAUCCUGAUCAGUCACUGAAUGAGGGCAAAGUCUGUCCCCUAUCCCUAGCUGACCCCAGAUAAGACCAUGGAUUACAUCACAGCCAGUCCAGCCAGGCCAUCUUACCAUCUACCUUGCCAAACACUGGGCCACUGCCACCACCUCUUGCUCUUGGUACCAAAAUCAAUCCAAUAGUACUGUUGGAAAGGGCAUGCUAAUUGAUUAACUCAUCAUCCCGUAGACUCUCUGGACCUGAACCCCAAUAUCCCUGUAUGUUUUGCUCCCCUCAUUAGGUAUAGCUUCCACUUCUUUCUAACAGAUGAGGCUAUUAUCUGGCUAGGCCUGGGGGAUUCUGGGGGAACUUUAUACUUUGGACUCUAUAGGUUAUGGCAGG